CACGUAGGGUGCAAGCGUUGUCCGGAAUUAUUGGGCGUAAAGGGCUCGUAGGCGGUCCGUCACGUCGGGAGUGAAAACUCGGGGCUCAACCCCGAGCCUGCUUUCGAUACGGGCGGACUAGAGGUAGGUAGGGGAGAACGGAAUUCCUGGUGUAGCGGUGGAAUGCGCAGAUAUCAGGAGGAACACCGGUGGCGAAGGCGGUUCUCUGGGCCUUACCUGACGCUGAGGCACGAAGGUCAGGGGAGCAAACGGG
rnacentral:rRNA from 1 species